rnacentral:sRNA from 1 species
CUUUUAAUCAAUUGGUCGCAGGUUCGAAUCGUCGAACCUGCAGCAGGUUCGGGUCGAACGUAGUGAGACAACGGAGCCGCUUGCGGCGACGGCCCGCAGGCGAGGCGAAGCCGAGUCAUCCUGCACGACCCACCA